CGUACACUCCUACGGCAGGCAGCAGUGGGGAAUUUUGGACAAUGGGCGAAAGCCUGAUCCAGCAAUGCCGCGUGGGUGAAGAAGGCCUUCGGGUUGUAAAGCUCUUUUGUCAGGGAAGAAACGGUGAAAGCUAAUAUCUUUUGCUAAUGACGGUACCUGAAGAAUAAGCACCGGCUAACUACGUGCCAGCAGCCGCGGUAAUACGUAGGGUGCAAGCGUUAAUCGGAAUUACUGGGCGUAAAGCGUGCGCAGGCGGUUUUGUAAGUCUGAUGUGAAAUCCCCGGGCUCAACCUGGGAAUUGCAUUGGAGACUGCAAGGCUAGAAUCUGGCAGAGGGGGGUAGAAUUCCACGUGUAGCAGUGAAAUGCGUAGAUAUGUGGAGGAACACCGAUGGCGAAGGCAGCCCCCUGGGUCAAGAUUGACGCUCAUGCACGAAAGCGUGGGGAGCAAACAGGAUUAGAAACCCCAGUAGUCCCA
rnacentral:rRNA from 1 species